UCCCUGGUGGCUCAGAUGGUAAAGAAUCUGCCUACAAGGCAGGAGACCUGGGUUCAAUCCCUGGUUUGGGAA
rnacentral:tRNA from 1 species